AAAUCUAUGAGAAACUCCGGCCAAGAUCUCUAUCCGGAUGCAGGCCCGGUAUGCAAUUCUCCGCAAUUGAACGAAAGUCUGACGGAGCAACGCCCGCCGUGAGUGAUGAAGGUUUUCGGACGUAAAGCUCUGUGUUAGGGAAGAACAAGUGCCGUUCAAUUAGGGCCGGCCACCUUGACGGUACCUAACCCAGAAAGCCACGGCUAACUACGUGCCAGCAGCCGCGGUAAUACGUAGGUGGCAAGCGUUGUCCGGAAUUAUUGGGCGUAAAGGGCUCGCAGGCGGUUUCUUAAGUCUGAUGUGAAAGCCCCCGGCUCAACCGGGGAGGGUCAUUGGAAACUGGGGAACUUGAGUGCAGAAGAGGAGAGUGGAAAUCCACGUGUAGCGGUGAAAAUGCGUAGAGAUGUGGAGGAACACCAGUGGCGAAGGCGACUCUUUGGUCUGUAAUCUGAUCGCUGAGGAGCGAAAGCGUGGGGAGCGAACAGGAUUUAGAUACCCUGGUAGUCCACGCCGUAAACGAUGAGUGCUAAGUGUUAGGGGGUUUCCGCCCCUUAGUGCUGCAGCUAACGCAUUAAGCACUCCGCCUGGGGAGUACGGUCGCAAGACUGAAACUCAAAGGAAUUGACGGGGGCCCGCACAAGCGGUGGAGCAUGUGGUUUAAUUCGAAGCAACGCGAAGAACCUUACCAGGUCUUGACAUCCUCUGACAAUCCUAGAGAUAGGACGUCCCCUUCGGGGGCAGAGUGACAGGUGGUGCAUGGUUGUCGUCAGCUCGUGUCGUGAGAUGUUGGGUUAAGUCCCGCAACGAGCGCAACCCUUGAUCUUAGUUGCCAGCAUUCAGUUGGGCACUCUAAGGUGACUGCCGGUGACAAACCGGAGGAAGGUGGGGAUGACGUCAAAUCAUCAUGCCCCUUAUGACCUGGGCUACACACGUGCUACAAUGGACAGAACAAAGGGCAGCGAAACCGCGAGGUUAAGCCAAUCCCACAAAUCUGUUCUCAGUUCGGAUCGCAGUCUGCAACUCGACUGCGUGAAGCUGGAAUCGCUAGUAAUCGCGGAUCAGCAUGCCGCGGUGAAUACGUUCCCGGGCCUUGUACACACCGCCCGUCACACCACGAGAGUUUGUAACACCCGAAGUCGGUGAGGUAACCUUUUAGGAGCCAGCCGCCGAAGGUUAGAAGAAAAUGU
rnacentral:rRNA from 1 species